AACGAACGCUGGCGGCAGGCUUAACACAUGCAAGUCGAGCGCCCCGCAAGGGGAGCGGCAGACGGGUGAGUAACGCGUGGGAAUCUACCCAUCUCUACGGAAUAACGCAUGGAAACGUGUGCUAAUACCGUAUACGUCCUUCGGGAGAAAGAUUUAUCGGAGAUGGAUGAGCCCGCGUUGGAUUAGCUAGUUGGUGGUAAAGGCCUACCAAGGCGACGAUCCAUAGCUGGUCUGAGAGGAUGAUCAGCCACACUGGGACUGAGACACGGCCCAGACUCCUACGGGAGGCAGCAGUGGGGAAUAUUGGACAAUGGGCGCAAGCCUGAUCCAGCCAUGCCGCGUGAGUGAUGAAGGCCCUAGGGUUGUAAAGCUCUUUCACCAGUGAAGAUAAUGACGGUAACCGGAGAAGAAGCCCCGGCUAACUUCGUGCCAGCCGCCGCAGUAACAC
rnacentral:rRNA from 1 species